rnacentral:rRNA from 1 species
AUUGAACGCUGGCGGCAUGCCUUACACAUGCAAGUCGAACGGUAACGGGCCUUCGGGUGCCGACGAGUGGCGAACGGGUGAGUAAUACAUCGGAACGUGCCCGAUCUUGGGGGAUAACGAGGCGAAAGCUUUGCUAAUACCGCAUACGAUCUACGGAUGAAAGCAGGGGACCGCAAGGCCUUGCGCGGACGGAGCGGCCGAUGGCAGAUUAGGUAGUUGGUGGGAUAAAAGCUUACCAAGCCGACGAUCUGUAGCUGGUCUGAGAGGAUGAUCAGCCACACUGGGACUGAGACACGGCCCAGACUCCUACGGGAGGCAGCAGUGGGGAAUUUUGGACAAUGGGCGCAAGCCUGAUCCAGCCAUGCCGCGUGCAGGAUGAAGGCCUUCGGGUUGUAAACUGCUUUUGUACGGAACGAAAAGCAUUCUUUUAAUACAGGAGGGUCAUGACGGUACCGUAAGAAUAAGCACCGGCUAACUACGUG